rnacentral:rRNA from 1 species
GUCCUAGCUGUAAACGAUGGGCACUAGGCAGUGGAGGUCCGAUGCCGUCACUGUCGAAACGAAUGCGAUAAGUGCCCCGCCUGGGGAGUACGGCCGCAAGGCUGAAACUCAAAGGAAUUGACGGGGCUCACACAAGCGGUGGAGCAUGUGGUUUAAUUCGAAGCAACGCGCAGAACCUUACCAGGGUUUGAAAUGCACGGAUUAGCCUCCCGAAACGGAGGUGACGCCUUUUGGUGGAACGUGCACAGGUGUUGCAUGGCUGUCGU